rfam:Weissella confusa LBAE C39-2, WGS project CAGH01000000 data, contig: WeissC39_1_contig00008
UGCAGGGUAGAUUUUGAUGCGUUAAGUGCUGUGGAAACGGAAUGUGGGCCACAGACGAAGGACUGAUACGUUCGCGAUAUCAUUAUCACAUUCACUGUA